UUCUGGAUGAUGAAUAAAUCAGACGGAUUCCCAAUGAAAAAAUCCAUGAUUUCAAUUACCAGCUAUUUCUGACUCUU
rnacentral:snoRNA from 1 species